rnacentral:tRNA from 1 species
GGAAAUGUGCCUGAAUGCUAAGGACCACUUUGAUAGAGUGAACUACAGGGGUUCAAGUCCCCUCAUUUCCU